rnacentral:rRNA from 1 species
ACAUGCAAGUCGAACGGGAAAUAUUUCAUUGAGACUUCGGUGGAUUUGAUCUAUUUCUAGUGGCGGACGGGUGAGUAACGCGUGGGUAACCUGCCUUAUACAGGGGGAUAACAGUCAGAAAUGGCUGCUAAUACCGCAUAAGCGCACAGAGCUGCAUGGCUCAGUGUGAAAAACUCCGGUGGUAUAAGAUGGACCCGCGUUGGAUUAGCUAGUUGGUGGGGUAACGGCCCACCAAGGCGACGAUCCAUAGCCGGCCUGAGAGGGUGAACGGCCACAUUGGGACUGAGACACGGCCCAGACUCCUACGGGAGGCAGCAGUGGGGAAUAUUGCACAAUGGGGGAAACCCUGAUGCAGCGACGCCGCGUGAAGGAAGAAGUAUCUCGGUAUGUAAACUUCUAUCAGCAGGGAAGAUAGUGACGGUACCUGACUAAGAAGCCCCGGCUAACUACGUGCCAGCAGCCGCGGUAAUACGUAGGGGGCAAGCGUUAUCCGGAUUUACUGGGUGUAAAGGGAGCGUAGACGGUGUGGCAAGUCUGAUGUGAAAGGCAUGGGCUCAACCUGUGGACUGCAUUGGAAACUGUCAUA